AGGUAGAGUCUGAUCCUGGCUCAGGACGAACGCUGGUGGCGUGCCUUCUACAUGCAAGUCGAUGGGACAGAAGGGAGUUUGCUCCCGGAUGUUAGCGGCGGACGGGUGAGUAACACGUGGGUAACCUGCCUGUAAGACUGGGAUAACUCCGGGAAACCGGAGCUAAUACCGGAUAGUUCCUUGAACCGCAUGGUUCAAGGAUGAAAGACGGUUUCGGCUGUCACUUACAGAUGGACCCGCGGCGCAUUAGCUAGUUGGUGAGGUAACGGCUCACCAAGGCGACGAUGCGUAGCCGACCUGAGAGGGUGAUCGGCCACAUUGGGAAUGAGACACGGUCCAGACUCCUACGGGAGGCAGCAGUAGGGAAUCUUCCGCAAUGGACGAAAGUCUGACGGAGCAACGCCGCGUGAGUGAUGAAGGUUUUCGGAUCGUAAAGCUCUGUUGUUAGGGAAGAACAAGUGCAAGAGUAACUGCUUGCACCUUGACGGUACCUAACCAGAAAGCCACGGCUAACUACGUGCCAGCAGCCGCGGUAAUACGUAGGUGGCAAGCGUUGUCCGGAAUUAUUGGGCGUAAAGGGCUCGCAGGCGGUUUCUUAAGUCUGAUGUGAAAGCCCCCGGCUCAACCGGGGAGGGUCAUUGGAAACUGGGAAACUUGAGUGCAGAAGAGGAGAGUGGAAUUCCACGUGUAGCGGUGAAAUGCGUAGAGAUGUGGAGGAACACCAGUGGCGAAGGCGACUCUCUGGUCUUAACGACGCGAGAGGAAGC
rnacentral:rRNA from 1 species